ensembl:lncRNA
AUCUACCAGGUGGUCGCUUGGUGUCUUCCGUUGCAAUUAUUGCGCAAUCUCCAGCUGCAGUAUUUUUCCAUUUGCUUCUGAUGACAAGCCAACUGCCACCACUGAUAGAUUAUCGAAUAGAUAUGUGAAAAACACCUUGAGGAUUGAUUCUAAACAAUGUUUGCCAUGUUUCUGUCGAUAUUAUGGAGCUAAUUUGGAAAAAAGUUCGGCGUUGUAAGUGACUGCAUUUUCCGGUAUUUUUCUUAGCCAAACGUGAUGAACAAAAUGGAGCUAUUUCGUCUACACAAAUAAUAUUUUUGGAAAAAAUGAACAUUUGCUAUCUAACUAAGAGUCUCGUCAUUGAAAACAUCCAAAGUUCUUCAAAGGACAAUGACCCAACACACCUCCAGGCUGUGUAUUGCCUAUUUGACCAAGAACUAGAGUGAUGGAGUGCUGCAUCAGAUGACCUGGCCUCCACGAUCACCCAACCUCAACCCAAUUCAGAUGGUUUGGGAUGAGUUGGACCGCAGAGUGAAGGAAAAGCAGCCAACAAGUACUCAGCAUGUGGGAACUCCUUCAAGACUGCUGGAAAAGCAUUCCUGUCACGUUCUGACCUUUAUUUCCUUUGUUUUGUCAUUAUUUAGUAUGGUCAGGGCGUGAGUUGGGGUGGGCAGUCUAUGUUUGUUUUUCUAUGAUUUGGGUAUUUCUAUGUUUCGGCCUAGUAUGGUUCUCAAUCAGAGGCAGGUGUCAUUAGUUGUCUCUGAUUGAGAAUCAUACUUAGGUAGCCUGGGUUUCACUGUGUGUUUGUGGGUGAUUGUUCCUGUCUCUGUGUUUGCACCAGAAUAGGGCUGUUUAGGUUUUCUCACGUUUAUUGUUUUUGUUAGUCUAUUCAUGUAUAGUUUUGCUUUAUUAUAGAACCAUGAAUAGAAACCACGCUGCAUUUUGAUCCGCCUCUCCUUCAACUCAAGAGAACCGUUACAAUUCCAGGUCAAGUUGGUUGAGAGAAUGCCAAGAGUGUGCAAAGCUGUCAUCAAGGCAAAUGGUGGCUACUUUGAAGAAUAUAAAAUAUAUUUUGAUUUGUUGAACACUUUUUCGGUUACUACAUUAUUCCAUACGUUUUGCUUCAUAGUUUUGAUGUCUUCUCUAUUAUUCUACAAUGUAGAAAAUAGUACAAAAAUAAAGAAAAAACAUUGAAUGAGUAGGUGUGUCUAAACCUUUGACUGGUACUGUAUAAUCCAUCUGUUGUGUGUAGCCUUGUGGUCCUCUAUGAGCCCCACCAAAUUCAAACACCUAAAUCUGUUGCUCCCAUACUUUUUUGGCCCUGUGACCCAAUUUUGAAAUCCAACAUUUUUCAAGACCCCACCAUAUUAAAAGUGUAAUGUAAUCAAUGGCUAAUGUUUACUUGUAAUGUUUACUGUAAUCAACGGCCAAGUCAGUCUGAAGUACUUCUGACAGAACUUCAAUCUUGAAGGAAGUGUGGUUUGAAGUGAUUGAAAUGCAUCAGAAAGGUAUUGGGAAGUAGAGAAUAUCACCAGGUAAUAAAGUUUUUGUGUAG